AAGAUGGCGACCGGCGCACGGGUGAGUAACACGUAUCCAACCUGCCGAUAACUCUGGAAUAGCCUUUCGAAAGAAAGAUUAAUACCCGAUAGUAUAAUGAUUCCGCAUGGUUUCAUUAUUAAAGGAUUCCGGUAAAGGAUGGGGAUGCGUUCCAUUAGGUUGUUGGUGAGGUAACGGCUCACCAAGCCUUCGAUGGAUAGGGGUUCUGAGAGGAAGGUCCCCCACAUUGGAACUGAGACACGGUCCAA
rnacentral:rRNA from 1 species